ensembl:processed_transcript
GUUCUUGCGCAAAACUCUGGUUUUGACCUUCAGGAAACAUUAGUUAAAGUUCAAGCUGAACAUUCAGAAUCCGGUCAGCUCGUAGGUGUGGAUCUGAGCACAGGUGAGCCAAUGGUGGCCGCAGAGAUGGGUGUGUGGGAUAACUACUGUGUGAAGAAGCAGCUGCUACACUCCUGUACUGUGAUCGCCACCAACAUUCUCCUGGUCGACGAGAUCAUGCGAGCUGGGAUGUCCUCUCUGAAGGGUUGAAGCCUGCCUGUGAUACUACAGGAUGUUGGGGGGGAAUGGUUAUUUUUGUCCAAGCUUCAAGUGAUUUGGAAAAUAAUUUUCUCUUCCCUGAUUGGAGAAAAGGAACAGGACAUUUGGCACCU